rnacentral:rRNA from 1 species
GACGAACGCUGUCGGCGCGCCUAACACAUGCAAGUCGAACGGAGUUGCUGAAGCUGAAUUUUUCGGAAGGACGCAUUAGUAACUUAGUGGCGGACGGGUGAGUAACGCGUGAGUAACCUGCCUUUCAGAGGGGGAUAACGUUUGGAAACGAACGCUAAUGCCGCAUAACAUAACGAGGUCGCAUGGCUUUGUUAUCAAAGGAGCAAUACGCGGGAAGAUGGACUCGCGUCCAAUUAGCUAGUUGGUGAGGUAAAGGCCCACCAAGGCGACGAUUGGUAGCCGGACUGAGAGGUUGAACGGCCACAUUGGGACUGAGACACGGCCCAGACUCCUACGGGAGGCAGCAGUGGGGAAUAUUGCACAAUGGGCGCAAGCCUGAUGCAGCCAUGCCGCGUGUGUGAAGAAGGCCUUAGGGUUGUAAAGCACUUUCAGCGGGGAGGAAGGGUAUAGGCUUAAUACGCUUAUACAUUGACGUUACCCGCAGAAGAAGCACCGGCUAACUCCGUGCCAGCCGCCGCAGUAACAC